GGUGAUUCCGUUGAAAUGGGGAAUUCUCCAUCUAUCUGUUGGUUGUAUUAUUUUUUGAUUAAUAUAAUCCUUGGUAAGCGGUGUAAGUUAGAUAUUUCAUACGGUGCUCACCGUCAAUAGCUGUAUAAUUUCAAAACUCAGAAUUCUGACUUCUUGAAUUAGAUAUUGGAACCUCGGGUGUUGCUACUCGAUAACCGGCUUUGGUUCCCGCGCCUUCCCUUUCUCAGUAAAACUGUAAAUUAUCAUUUUCUCGUAAUUUGUGCUUUUGAUAUUUUCCUUUACAAGUUGGCAAAAAUAAGCUUGACUUGUUCAGGUGGUCAAAAUGGGAAAUCGAAAUACUUUCAGACUAGUGAAGCUGACGGAACAUGCAAAAGGUUUUGUGUCGAAGCUUUGGUACCGGUUGCGUGUUUGUUGCAGAUAUGGAAAUUUUUUAAAAGAGAAGACGCCGAUCAAGUAACUCCAGAUGUAUUUUCAGUCGCGGAUCGAGAUAUUGUCAACGCUAAUAACUACGGCAUUACCUUCCUGAGUCGCCCAGUUUUGUGUCGAAGCUUCGAAAAUUUUAAAAAAUAACACGCCUAUCAAGUAACACCAGAUGUAUUUUCUGUCGCGGAUCGAUAUAUUGUCGACGCGGCAUUGCCUUCCUAAGUCGCUCAGGCGCAGCACCAAGUCGUUUGGAAGAAUAAUCUUCUCUACAGCACUACCAUUGGUCUUCAUGCAGAAUAAAUCGUGAGAUCUAAACCGUUGUGACAGACCUGCGGAAGAGUGUUUGGUGGCAUGCUUUGCAAGAUUUUCUUCAUGAAGCAGAAAUUAAGUCCAGUGGCUUAAAUAUGGCUUGGCAGCUAUGGCGCAAGAAGCCAAAAAGUUCCAAUCGUAAAAUGUUUAUGUAAAAAGGUUAUUUUUGCUUAUUUAAAACACAAGUACAUAACAUAACUCUAGAUCAGUGGUUCAACCUUUUUCUUUCGUGGCCCAUCUUCGUCGCACAGAAAUUCUUGUGGCUCUCUAAUUUUUUAUUGCAAGGAAAAACUACGA